AUGUCACAAAACAUAUUGUAAAAAAGCUCUUAGCAUGUUCCUUUGGAGGUAAAGUAGAUGUGGGUUCAUACAUCAUUGGAUGGUCUCCUUUUGAAGUGCAUCACAUCAUUUUCAUAUUUAGCUGAGUAUCUGAAGUUAGAUGUGAUCUGCGAAGGCUGUCGGUCUCUGUCCCAUACCUAAAGUCGGAUGAUCCACAGUUUGUGAAGAAGGUGGUUGUUUGCUUCAGAUUCUGAUCAAAUCUAUGGGGAUUAUUUCCUUGAGAACUUGUGGUAGCUGACCUGAGAAUGCAAGCUUCAACAAUGCUAUGAAAACCAACAUCAUGACUGGUGGUAGGUGGAAAGCGAUGCCUGCGAGCUAUGACAUCUCAACCAGUUUUGGCCUGUGGGGCACGAGUUGCUUCUUUUCCAUGCAAGAAGAGCAAUGCUAUGCAAAAUGGUCAUCUAAGAACCAGUUUAGUAGAAGGUUCUUGGAAGGACAGGUUGCAUGAGGCUCUUUUGCUAGUAGUGCUUUAUAGAGCAAUUAACAUAGAGAGAUAUUGCUCCACAUCUGAAGUAUACUGCAGUAGUGCUUUGCUUGCUCUUCAUACCUGGUGGUAAUUUAGGCUUUGUCUUGGCUACCUUGAUUUCGAUUAAAAAGAGGAAUAAACAGGGAUGAAACGAAGAGAAGAAUUGGUACAUAGUUGUUCUCUAUUUUUGUAACAACUUAGGAUUGGCUAGCUAGAAGGUAUUAUUUGGAUUUUUUGAUCCUGUAUAAAUGCCCCAAAUCUACCCAGCGAAUAACCGAUAUGAGACUAAACACAUACCCGCACGGAUUUUCACAUACUCUUUCUGUUUAAGCGUUGACGUUCUCGUCAGACUAAGAGUUCAAAUCUAUUCAAAUCUAAUUACAAGCAUCACGAUCGGCCCGUGGUCAGCCUUAAUAUAACAAUAUUGCAGUGCUCUUUAGUCCACAUAGGUUAUAGGCUGGAUCCGCUCUGAUACCAUUUGUAACAAUUCAGAACCUCAUCCAAAAAAACUAGUCGAAAAGUAUUAUUUGAAUUCUUUGAUCCUAUAUAAACACCCAAGAUCUACCUAACGAACAACUGAUAUAGGACUAAAUACACGUUUGCAUGGAUUCACAUAUACUCUUCUCGUUUAAACCCGACGUUCUUGUCAGGUUAAGGGUUCAAAUCUAUAUAAAUCUAAUCACAAGCACCACGAUCAGUCCGUGGUCAGUUCCAAUAGAUCCAUGCUGCAGUGCCUCCUAAUCCACAUAGAUUAUAAAUCAGGUAUGCUCCGAUACUAUUUAUAACAACUUAAAAUCUCAUCCAAAAUGACUAGCCGAAAGAUAUUAUUUGAAUUUUUUGAUGUACCCCAUAUUUACUCAGCAAAUAACCAAUAUGAAACUAAACACACGCUCGUAUGAAACCCCACAAUUUUUCUCCCUAGUCCUCACUGGAGACGUGUUUCCUUUUUUUUUUUUUUUU
rnacentral:lncRNA from 1 species